rnacentral:rRNA from 1 species
CCUGGCUCAGAUUGAACGCUGGCGGCAUGCUUUACACAUGCAAGUCGAACGGCAGCACGGGUGCUUGCACCUGGUGGCGAGUGGCGGACGGGUGAGUAAUGCAUCGGAACGUGUCCUAAAGUGGGGGAUAACGCAUCGAAAGAUGUGCUAAUACCGCAUAUUCUCUGAGGAGGAAAGUAGGGGAUCGAAAGACCUUAUGCUUUUGGAGCGGCCGGUGUCUGAUUAGCUAGUUGGUAGGGUAAUGGCUUACCAAGGCGACGAUCAGUAGUUGGUCUGAGAGGACGACCAGCCACACUGGGACUGAGACACGGCCCAGACUCCUACGGGAGGCAGCAGUGGGGAAUUUUGGACAAUGGGCGCAAGCCUGAUCCAGCAAUGCCGCGUGAGUGAAGAAGGCCUCGGUUCGGUUAAGUACGUACUUUCUACGUUGUAGAAGAAAAGUAACGUAGACGUAAUAAUACU